CAUUGAAUGGCUGAAAAAUUAAGUGAUGGUCUCUUAAACCAAUUUAUAGUUAUUAUAACUUUCAAUGA
rnacentral:tRNA from 1 species